rnacentral:rRNA from 1 species
GUCCCAGCUGUAAACGGUGCAUAUUUGCUGUAAAAGGAUUCGACCCCUUUUGUGGCGAAGCUAACGCGAUAAAUAUGCCGCCUGGGAAGUACGGUCGCAAGAUUAAAACUCAAAGAAAUUGACGGGGGCCUGCACAAGCGGUGGAGUAUGUGGCUUAAUUCGAUGCAACGCGAAGAACCUUACCUGGCCUUGACAUGCGUGUAGUAGGAGGAUGAAAGUCCGACGAGGUAGCAAUACCAGCGCGCACAGGUGCUGCAUGGCUGUCGU